rnacentral:rRNA from 1 species
GACGAACGCUGGCGGCGUGCUUAACACAUGCAAGUCGAACGGAAAGGCCCUGCUUUUGUGGGGUGCUUGAGUGGCGAACGGGUGAGUAAAACGUGAGUAAACUGUACCUGAAUUUGGGAUAAAAUCAGGGAAAUGGGGCUCAUAUAGGGUAGGAGAUCCUGAUGCAUGGUGGGGGUUGGAAAGAUUCGGCGGUUGGGGCUGGACUCGCGGGUUCUGCGCUUGUUGGGGGGGUUGUGGCUUACAAAGGCUGUGACGGGUAGCCUGCCUGAGAGGGUGACCGGCCACAUGGGUACUGAGAGACGCCCCAGACUCCAACCGUAGGCAGCAGUGGGGAACAUUGCGCAAUAGGCGGAAGCCAGAUGCAACAACGCCGCGUUCGUGAUGACGGCCUUCGGGUUAUGAACCUCUUUCGCCUGUGACGAAGCGUUAGUGACGGUAAUGGGUAAAGAAGCACCGGCUAACUACGUG